rnacentral:lncRNA from 1 species
CUUGCGAGGAACCAUCGGCCUUCAAAUUUGGAAUCCCUCGAGUCUUGCAAUCGGCGAUUGGACCUAUAAUACUUCCAAGUUACACGAUUCAGCCUGUCAUCCCUACUCCCUCCUCCUCUCAAUUUAGCCCUUGUUGCGAGCCUGGGAUCGUUCAGUCAAAGCUAGAUUUUGCGAACACCACCGCCACCUUUAGCCUCCCAUGGUUGUCAUCCGCAUCCCGCCGUUGCCAUCGCAGUCAACCCAUAAACGGAGUGAUAAGGUUAGUGCAGACUAUAUGUUAUUAGUUUUGUUUUUACAGACUCCUCUUCCCAAUUAGUUAUGCUGAGUUUGUGAUUUUGUGCUUAUGGAAAGUUAGAGCAUUAUGCAUUCUUUUACUCAAGCAAUCCCCAAAUUUUAAUAUACCUAGCCAAGUAAUUAUCUGCACUGGUUCUUUAUGUACAAUUGUUUAGUUUCCAAAAGUGACCUAUAAAAUGUAUGAAUGACUUGCUUUAAACAUGGAUUGUAGUAGUGUUGAAGGAGUUUGUAACGGUUCUAAUUUCUCCUAUUUCAAUUGAGGUUUGAAUUAAUUUUUUAUAAUUUUACAGUCUAGAGACAUAAGCUUGAAUGGUUCAGAUAACCUUCAAAAUAAGAAAUCACAUCAACAAAUCCAAGUGAUUUAGUGCAUCAUAUACCAUUUGGUAAUGAAUGUUGUAGAGUUUGAAUUAAUGAAGUAAUUGAUAACAUCAGCUUAUAUCGUCCUACACGUGAGCUUUUUCUUCUUGAAGAAACAUUAGGAAGUACAAUAACAUAGCCAUUAGGUACAUUGAAGUGAAUUCGGUGUAAUCACAACUAUGGUAUGCUUAACUUCUUUUCUAUUUUAAUUCCAUUUACAUUUACAUUCAAUCUCAAUUGAAGAUUAGGUUGUUUAAAAUCAAGAAGUUGAUGGAUGGUUGAUUCGAUAUGACACUUUUUGAGAAGUAUUGAGAUGAAUUUUACAUUGAUAUACUGUGUUAAACCGUACUCAAUAUUUAUGUUUAUUGAAGCUAUGGAAAGCCCAAUAAUAUAUAUAUUAUUUUGUUUUGUAAUUAUUGAUAGGCACGCUGAUAAUUAUAUAAAUCAACAAUGUUUUUUAAAAAUUAUAUUAAAAUUUACGGCUUACAUGAUAAUAUUGAAGUUUACGGCAUGUUCAUUGCACGCUGUGAAUGAAUGACCUUUUGCUGCACACCAUAACUUGUGAAGUUGUACAACUGAAUGUCGUAAAAUUAAUAAUGGGGUUCAUAGACAACGAACACUGCACGUCGUAAAAAGUGAUGAUUUUUUACAGUACAGCUUUAUAUGGCAUGCGACCGCAUGCAGUAAAAAGACUAUUUUGUUGUAGUGUUAUUCAAUACAAAUAGAACAAUUUUAUGUUAAUAUAUUUAUCAAGUAAUAUGCAUAUUUUAGAGUUAGCAAAUUUCACAGUACUAGAGGGGUGAAUGUGCAUUGCACGCACGUUAGUUGAUUAACAUCUUGUUUACAGUACUAGAGGGGUGAAUGUGCAUUGCACGCAUGUUAGUUGAUUAACAUCUUGUUUACAGUACUAGAGGGGUGAAUGUGCAUUGCACGCACGUUAGUUGAUUAACAUCUUGUUUAUAUACCAAUGACCACAAACAUGAUAAAUGGACAGUAACUUAACAGAAAGGAUCUUCACUAUCAUUACCAAGUAACCAAAGAUUUUACGAAAAAGAAUAAAGAUUCUCCUUUGUCGAAGGGUCUUUCACAACUUCAUGAUUAAGAAUCUUCUACCAGCUGUGCAAGUACUAAACAUCCGUCUUUCUAGAUAUGCAUUCGGCUGCUCAACAAAAAAAAUUAAUUAAUCAAUAAUCAGGAAUUGAGGGUAGCAGGGAUUUGAAGACUUCCUCAACUACCCAUCAGUGACUACAGAUUAAUAAUAGUCAUUUCACACUAAUAAGAUUGUCCACCAGAAACAGUCUUUCAAAAAUCAUCUGAAUAGUUCUCAUAACAACCAUCAAAUUCAGACGUCAAUCAAAAUGAAAUGCAAAACCAUUAAUGCAGGACCAGGAUAACUUUAAAUAGAAGUUUACUGCAAAAAAGUCAGCUAUAUGCAACCAAGAAGCAAGAUGCAAACUCACCUAUUUUUUUCAAGUCUCUCCCAUUGAACCUCAAGUUAUCCUAUCAGCAGAAACAAAGGAUGUUAGAUGCAGAAACAUAGCAAUCAUCAAUAAACUAUGCGAACUGGGACUAAAUACAAAAUUUUGUAGACGUUUGUUUAUUUCUCCAUAUUGUUUCAAAUUUUCUUUCUCUCUCCUUUUUAUUGCAAAAUUCACUUUACAAUCUAAAUAACGAUAUCACAACCCAUAAAGAGUAACUCCACGGUAAAUCAACGUUGCAUUACAGUCAAAGUUGGAAGUCUAGUUCCAGACCUCUUCUUCUAUCCAUCUUGCCUGUGAUAUGCGUCUUGUACGACCAAAAUUUCCGUCUCAAUUGAAACUGUGAGUAAAAUAUAAACAAAGAAAGCACAAUAUGUUAAAGUUGAUGUACAUAGAUUAAGCAUACAUGUCUGUCACACGUUACCUGGGAAAUAACUAUACAGAAUUCCUAAUAUCACCCAUCUAAAAGAUAUGUUUACUUAUACUUCUUCAAUACACGAAACAUUGAAAAAAAGUCUAAUUAUAAACCACCAUUCACAUGAUUUCCACAUAUUGAAGUUCGACAAGAAACAAUAGUGCUAUAUAAUUUUGCAUUUAAUGGUUAGGAUAAAAAAGACCAGUUAAAUUCUUCCAAGAUAUUUAGCCCAUGUUUGGCAUAUGUCAAUUAUUUGUUUAUAAUUGGUCAAACUAAUUUUUAUCCAAAGAUUUUGCAGGACCCGCAAGCGGUACCCACUUAUCCAUCGCUCGUUUCUAUCUAUUUAUUAUUUAAACCAUUUAUAAGCAACUCCCAAACAUGGAAGUUGGCUCUUGAAGUCAAAUAUUUUCUAUCCAUUAGCUGAAAAGAAAGAUGAUAGAAUCAAGUCAGCUAAACAUACAUUCGGCUGCAAAGGAACCAACUCAAACUCAAGCAUUUAUUUGAUAUUUUACUUUAAGCUCCCAUGGUCUAGAUAUCAACCACAGGUUUACAAAAAUUACUUAACCUCAUACACAGAAUCAACGGAAGAUCUCAGGGUGAGAGUUUUGCAACUGCUAUCGAAAAUUGAAGAAUAAGUAACAGUUCCAACUUUUUUUGUUAUAUCCAGUGUGAAUUCUUCCUCUUUGAGUUGGAUCAUGAUCUUAGCACCUACUGCAGUAAAUAAUCAAUACAGACGAAAAUCUUGAUAAGACAUUCGAAUAAUCAAUUUAAUAACUCAUGUUUAUAAGACCAACUUAGGGGAGGGGGAAUAAAUUUGUUUUGAAAUGAACAGGGAGAAGAUUAUGGUACAAAAUUAAAAAUUGAACAAAAAUUUCCAUAUUUUCUCAGCUCUAAAACGCUAAAACCAUUAUCCAACCAAUCAUCAUAUCUAUUUGCAUAAGCAAUUCAAUUACUUUGAACGUGAAUGAAAAAAUUAGUACUUAUAAAAAUAGGUACCUUUGGCAUUAUUAGUAGGUAAUGUUGCAUAUUUUCUAGGACAAAACUCCUCAUCCUUUUCUUAUCCUCUUCUUGACCCUUUUCAGAUUUCAUUCUUCACUGAAUUUCUUCAAACAUGUUAUCUGCAUAGAAUAAAGAACUCAAAAUUCUCACAAAACUCCAAUUUUUAUAUACAAAGCUGUAAUUUUUUUAGCUUUUCCUAAUUUAUUUUUUCAUAUCCCUUUAAUAAUCAUGUAGACCGAAUCCACUCCCAUCAGCAUCUCUAUUGCUCAGAUAAAAUUCGUUGUAGUUCCAUAGACAUACUCAAAGAAGGAAAAUAAGCACCUUUUCUAGACAUUCUCUGUGAAAAAUUAAUAUCAUUUUUCAUUAAUUUGUGAGUAGGAACUUUCCAAAGAAACAGCAUGGUAAAGAUCCAUACAGUAUCCCAUGUAAAUGGUAAGAUCUGCUCAAGCCCAAUGAAUUAGCAGCACACAAUUGCAAUUCGAGUUAAUAGAAAGCUGAAUUGUAAGUAAAAUAAUGGAAUUGAAGAAGAAUUUAAUUGAUACGGAAUGAAAUGAACAGUAUGAAAGAAAAGAGUAAAUUGGCAAGUUUCGAGAGUUGCCCCUCUCCUAAUGACUCAGAAUUUCCUGUUUUCUGAAUGAUCUUCUAGACUCUACUACUGGUAUUUAUAAAUAAAUGUGACAUCAGUAUAACUGAUUUAUUUUCAGCCAAUCUAACAACUAAUAUUCCCUUUACACCAAAUUCUUGUGACGCCUCUUGUAAGUGAACCGUAUAGGAGGUUUAUCAAUAUCCCCCGCCAUCGAAAGCACCUUGUCCCCAAGGUGGAAUUCAGGAAACUGAGAAUUGAUCAGCUCAAAUGGCUCCCAUGAUGCCUCGAAAGGGGGAAGAUCCUCCCACUGAAUCAGUACCUCUGGCCCGGUAUUGUCAAGAUCACUUGCUGGCCUGAUGCCCAACACACCAGCAGGUUUCACUUUCCACUCUAAAUCAGGGCUGAGAAGAGUGGGGAGUGGCUGGAUGGAAGUGGUAGAUCCCACUGCCUUCCGUAGUUGAGAAACAUGGAACACUGGGUGGAUGUUUGUGCCUUCUGGAAGCUGGAGCUUAUAAGCCACUGCACCUAUUUUCUGAACAAUGACAUAGGGCCCAAAAAAUCGCGGUGAUAGCUUCUCAUUAGCACGCUUGGCCAAGGACCUCUGUCGGUAUGGCUGGAGUUUAAGGUAAACUCGAUCUCCCACCUGAAACUGAACCUCCCUUCUUCUGGUGUCUGCUACUUCUUUCAUCCGGUUUUGGGCCUUUUCCAAUUGUAACUUCAAGGCACUAAUCAUUUCAUCUCGCAGCUGGAGCUGUUGAUCUAGGUCUGCCACCGGUGUGUGCUGCGUCCCAUAACGUAUGACCGGUGGAGGAUCCCUCCCAUAAACAACUUUAAAAGGGGUGGCCUUAGUGGAAGUGUGGAAGGAUGAGUUAUACCAGAAUUCAGCCCAUGGAAUCCAGUCAGACCACGAGCGAGGAUGGCUGUUCGCAAAACACCUGAGAUAAGUCUCCAAACAACGAUUCACCACNGAGUUCAUUGACAACUCCACACCUUCCAGUUCGUUACAGUCAGCUGUCCCUUCCGGUAUUUCUCCUUCCAACUCAUAAUUUUCCAGGUCGUCAUCUACCAACAGCACAUGUAAUUCCUUGUUACGGCACUGGUGUCCAACGGUGUACUUCCCGUCACAUCGGAAGCAUAAUCCCUUCUCCUUCUUAGCUUGGAUUUCAGCCUGGGUCAGCUUUUUAAACCCAAAAGUGGUGUUCGGCAGAUUCGUGCCCACCUUAUCAGGUGAAUUAACUCCCCUCGUCACAUUCCAGGGAAGAGUUCUCUGUUCCCCUCGAACCGGGUUAGGAUUCAUCACAUUCCUAAAUCGCGGUCGCUCCUUCUCCCUUCCCUUGUUGAUUCGGUUGUUCCUAUCUUCAACCCGCUGGGCCAAGUCCAUAAUCUGGGAUAGUCCCACCAGAUUCGCCAUCAGUACUUCAGCCUGCACUUCUUCGUCCAACCCAUUAAUGAAAACUCCUUCCAGUACAUCGUCACUGACAUUUUUCAGGGGUGCUGCCAUGACUUCAAAUCGCUCCCUGAACUCAGCUACCGUUCCUGUUUGCUUGAUAGCCAGGAACCUUUGGUGUAAGGUUCCAUACUGGGUAUCUCGAAACCUCUCCAGUAGUCGCCGUUUAAGUUCAGUCCAGUUGUGCAUGGGUCGCCGUCCAUCCUCCCAUUGAAACCAGGAUAGCGCUGCUCCUUCCAUACAUACACCCGCAGCCACAGCUCGCUCAACAUCAUCGAACUUGUUCAUUCGGAAGUACCUCUCAGCUCUAAAUAUCCAGGAGUCAGGAUCGACUCCAUUGAACAGUGGCAAUUCAAGUUUUCGAUAGUUACCUUCAACAGAGGCAACCGCCAUCUUCUCGGAAUUCACGUUUUCCACUUCCGGCUGCUCCUCGACAGAAGUGGUCGACAUCCUCCCACUCUCUUCUCCUGGACUGCUGGAGGAACUUAAUUUCGAGCCCUUCAACAUCUUCUCUAUUAGCCAUAACCCGUCGUUCAACUCCCGUCUACCCAGCGCGAGGCUCGCUUCGAGCCUCUGGUUCAUCUUCCCGAGUUCCAGUCCCACUUGAUUAUUCAAAUGUUCCACAUCUCCUUUCAAUUCGACCAUGCUCGCACUCAAGGAAGGUACGGAUUUCUCCAAUGCUUCAAUUCUGACGUCCAUUCUCGUGACUGGCAUCCGUUUCCCAGAAAUUUGACCGGCUCUGAUACCAAAUGGUAAGAUCUGCUCAAGCCCAAUGAAUUAGCAGCACACAAUUGCAAUUCGAGUUAAUAGAAAGCUGAAUUGUAAGUAAAAUAAUGGAAUUGAAGAAGAAUUUAAUUGAUACGGAAUGAAAUGAACAGUAUGAAAGAAAAGAGUAAAUUGGCAAGUUUCGAGAGUUGCCCCUCUCCUAAUGACUCAGAAUUUCCUGUUUUCUGAAUGAUCUUCUAGACUCUACUACUGGUAUUUAUAAGUAAAUGUGACGUCAGCAUAACUGAUUUAUUUUCAGCCAAUCUAACAACUAAUAUUCCCUUUACACCAAAUUCUUGUGACGCCUCUUGUAAGUGAACCGUAUAGGAGGUUUAUCAGUAAAAUAAGAUGAUGCAUGAACAUAUGCUUCAUAAUAGAAUUUUUUUCACCAUCAUUUUAAAAUGAGUGUAUAUUCAUGCGAUCUCCAACUGAUCUUAAGAAACAUUACUGAAUGUGAAUAAAACUUGUGACCUAAUAUAACUGUUCAUAUAGAUUAUUGCAUUGUUUCGAAGGAGUCCAACUAAGUUCAUUUGGGACAUUUCUUGAUGUCAGGUCGAAUUAUUAAGAAAACAAAUUAUAUGUAUCAUAAAACUCAUCAUUACAAGAUUUAGAUUCAUUAAAUAAAUUAAUCGAGCAUUUGAAAUCAAAAUCAAGUAGGAGUUGACCUUAUUUUCCAAUUUGCUCAAGUAUCUUAACAAGGGCAAAACUUCCAACAACACCAAUUGUGGGAACUUACCAAGAAAAGUUGGAGAACGUAAAUCAAAAUUUUUGUUUGGUAACUUUCACCAAAUUACUCUUCAUCGAGAACAUGUAUAACAACAAAAAGAAAAAUAGAAUAUGUAGAGUACCUUUCUGAGUUCUCUCAUGAAUUCCAACUUCUUAAGAGUAGCCAUCUCCGACAAUUAAGUUGAAAACAUUGAGGAUAGGCAGGUGGAAAGCUCCCAUUAAUGUGUGUAAAAAAAUAUUAGCAAGAAUAAUUAUGAUAAAAACGUUGGCUUCAAUUGUAGCAGAGACAUCAUUGUUCUUUCCAAUAUACUAUCAAUGCAGUCAACACCAUCAUGAAAUCUACAUCAAUCACAUAUCUUGUAAAAUUUUUGCAAUGUUUUUCCUACUGUGAUUAUGGAAGUAGCGGAAGUUCAGUACAAAAUAGCUAGUUCACACUUGGAUUCUUAGAAGGAAAAGAAUAUGCAGUCAAUACAGUUUUGGCAGUUUUAUGCAUAGACAUAAUUUAUCAGUUCCCGAUAUAGAAUAAAAAAGGCUUCAAUAAAAAAAUAAAAAGCAAUUAAACUAUGAUAAUGGAAAAGACAAAGGAAACCAUCUCGAUUCCAAAGUAUGAAAUCUAAAUUGCCUAACUUACAAAAUCAGAUAAUCCCUUUAUUUUCACUAUAUUUCUAACGAUAAAUUGCAUCUACAGUUCAAUGUUCUGACUUCUUUUGCACUUCUAUCUUCAACAUUAUAUACUUGGCAUUUUAAGUGAAUUCCCUUCUUUUUCACAGUUUCCUUUCCAAAAAACGGUCAAAAUUAUUCAAAAAAUAGUCUUUUCUUACACCCAACCCCAUCAACAAUGUGUGCUUUAUCUCACAAUCGAAGAUUAUGCCAUUUUAAAAAUCCCAUAAGAGCGAACAAGAAAAGUAGAAAAAUCAUAGCAUAAAUAUCAACUCACCAAUAUUCAAUUCAAUAUCUCGUUAAAGAGUAAAGAUUCACUAAAUAAUAACCAAAUCAACAGAUGUACACUGAGCACCAUUCUACUUACACAAACAAACGAAGAAAAGGCCUCCCUCGAUGAACAAGUCCUUUCUUUCACCUGUAUAAAUAGAAAAAUAUAUGGAACUUGAAGGUAAAUAUCAAAUGACAUAUUCAAGGCUAAACAAAUGAUUAAAAGAGUAAUACAAAUAUAAAUGAAUCUGUAUCUAGAUUGCUGUCAAUUAAAAUCCUCACAUAAACUAUCAUAUGAAAAACACAAGCAGGCAACGAAGUAAAGAUGAAAAUUUAGGGAACUUAGUUAAUCACAAGAUACCAAAACAUCAAAAAAUUAAAAAUAGAAAAGAUUAGGCUCCUCUGUCGAUUUCUAGAUACUGGAAUUAUCAUCCUCUCAUUAAAAACGACAGCAGACGCAAAAUAUUUCACUGAAUUCCAAGCAUGGUACUCAGAUUCUUAAAUAACUUGCUAUAUAGCAGAAAUUGAAACAGUAAUCUCUACAAUAUGAUUAAAACAAUUAUUUUCACACAAGAAUAUGACUUCCAUGUUAUAGAAAAGCAUUGUAGGACGAAGAAAAAUGUAUAACCAUUUCAUUUUUUCAUUAGAUACACAAUAAUGUAGGCUUAGAUUGGAGAUGAGAAUCUACUAAAGGCUGCUAAGAAAUUGAGUGAGUUGUAUUUGAAAGCACACAUUCCUCCCAUCAAUUAACACAAAAUCUCAAAUUUCACCAAAAGAAAAUGGUAAAACUAAAAACAUGAAGCAAUCCAAGAAAACGUAAUUUCAGAAUAGCCAAUCUGCCGUGGGUGAUAAAAAAUAUAACUGAAAUAGUGGAAAACAUUGCACAUAUAUUAAAUAUACCAAAUCAUGAAAUCCUAAAAGCUUUCCUAAAUUAACCCAAAGCUAGAAGAAAAUAUCUAAAUGAGGCUUUACAAAACCAAAAUCUUUGUCUUGACCUAGGUGACUUGCUUGAAAUCUAGUAGAUUCAGACAGUACAAAAUAUAGUUUUCUAAAAUUUUAAGAAACAAAAAUUUCCAGUGUAAGAACCUACACAAUAUAUUUUUUAAAAAUAUAUAGGAACUAAUGCAGCAUUCACAAAAAUUACAAAUAAAAAAUGUAGAUUUAUCCAAAGAGUAGAGGUAAUGAAAACAAAACCCCAUUCCAAGAGGAAAUCGAAAAAUAAAAAUUCAGGCAUCAAAAAAUAAGUCAUGUUGGGUUAUGUUCGUCCUACCUGUAUUAAACCUUCUUUAAAGAAUAAAAUUGAGCAAGGAUUUUUGUUAAAUGGGUUCUAAAAGGCCUAGUUUCAAUGGGUCAAAUGGGUUUUGAAGUUAGUUUGAAGAAAGGAAUUCUGGGUUUGGAGGGAAAGAGGAUGGGACGGUAGAAGAGAAAUUGCCAUUUUGUCAAGCUCAAAGUGCCAAUGGAAUGUGGUGUGUGCAUACAUAUUUGCUUGUACAGUGGGCGAACAUAAGUGCUCCUCAGCACUAGGUUAAGGCCGUACAUUGGUUGACAGUUUUGAUGAAGCAAACUUCGGUCCAUGAUAGGACUCUGUAUAGCGUCGCGGAGAGCAGCCUUCGUGCAGCUGCCAUUUUUCUCCGAUGGGUGACUCUACUCAGACAAAGCCUAAUCCCAACUUCGGCCCAUUAGCUUUCUCCAUAGAUGAAUCUUAUCUGCACAACGUCAUCCCAAAACAAAUCUCCAUCUUUGAGUCCAUCCAAAACCAACAGAAACUCCACCGUCUGCCCUUUUCUCCUAAUCCCGUCCAGUAUUCACUAUUCUUGAGUUUUGCCCUUUUGUAUCCCUUUAAUUUCACAUUAAAGAGAAUAGAUGAAGGUGCAAGUGUCAAAUCUACAGGCAUUUCUCGCCGUUCCUCAAACGCCUCUAACUUAGAUUUUACAACAAAUUAAAAAACCAAAUAUUUUUUAUAGAAGAGAAAUAAUCUCAAAUAGUAUAGUUUCCUAUAAAUUAUCUUAGAAGCUAGAAUUCAUCAUGAUCUUGAAACUAUCUUUAAACAAAAUUAAUACCAUGGCUAGGCUCAUUUAUGUAAACCUAAAACGAAACACGAUAAUCAAUUAAAAAUUUAAGAAAAAUGAUGAUUAAUUCAAGAGAACCAAAAAUUAAAAAACGUAAUUUAUAGAAAUAGAAAACAAAUGGUUACAUGGCCGUGCAUGCAGAUGAACUUUUGAGUUAGGAUUUAAUCAGAUUAUGGAGGUAUGGUAUUGUGGAGUGGAAUGAUGACAUGUUUGAGCUUAUUGUUGAUUGAAGUAAUGAAAGAAUGGAAGGGGAAGAUAAUGAUGAUGGGGAAACCACGAUAUAAGUCCUGGAAGACCUUUCGCACUUUUAUGUAUGUAGGAUUUUUUCUCGCUAAAAAAGUAAAAUAAAAAUAAAUAAAUAAUUGGGUUAAUAAAAUAUAGGAAAUAAAAAAUAAUUUCAUGACGUGGACUGAUAUUUUUUUUAUGUGCAUUCAUUUAAAUAUUUUUUUAUAAUUUCUAUAUAAAUAAUCAUUAAGAGUUUGCUAUUUUUAUUUUUUACUAUUUUUAUCUUUGUAGAAAUUUUAUGAUUUUAUUUUUUUAAUUUUAAUAUUUAUAUCUUAGAUUUUUAUAUUUUUAUUUUUAAAAAUUUGUUUUUCCAUGUUUCCAGGAAGCACUAAAAAUGUCGAAAAUGUUUUUUGAAUUGGGAAAAUUGCAAUCGAGGUAUCAAACCUUUCGUUUAUUAGCAGAUUUUGUCCAAACCUUUAGUUUGUACCACCCACGAUACCAAACAUUUUAAAAACUCGCAGUGGAAGUCUAAAUGGAUGAAACUGUUAAUUUGACCGUUAGUUGACCAAAGAUUUAACAUUGACCAUUAUUUUGACUAAUUUUAAAAGAAUAAAAUGAUAACUUUACAUUUUUCAACAAAAAAAAUAAUAAUUACAAUAUAUUAAUAAUUAAAUCCAAACACAAAAACACUAUUUAUCUUCUUCUCGAUUCACCCCCUACCCACAAAACCAAAUCUCCAUUUUCACUAUCAUUACUAAGUAACCAAAGAUUUUACCAAAAAGAAUAAAGAACCUCCUUUGUCCAAGGGUCUUUCUAAACUUCAUGAUUAAGAAUCUUCUACCAGCGGUGCAAGUACUAAAAAUCUGUCCUUCUAGAUAUGUAUUCGACUGUUCAGCAGAAAAAUUAAUUAAUCAAUAAUCAAGAAUUGAGAGUAACAGGGAUUUGAAGACUUCCUCGACAACCCAUCAGUGACUACUGAUUAAUAAUAGUCAUUUCACACUAAUAGGACAGCAGACAUGAAAUAUUACACUGAAUUCCAAGCAUGGUAUUAAAUAACAUGCUACAUAGCAGAAAUUGGAACACUAAUCUCUACAAUAUGAUCAAAAUGAUUAUUUUCACACAAAAAUAGGACUUCCAUGAUAUAGAAAAGCAUUGUAGGACAAAGAAAAAUGUAUAAUAACCAUUUCAUUUUUUUCAUUAGAUACACAAUAAUGUAGGCUCAGAUUGGCGAUGAGAAUCUAUUGAAGGCUACUAAGAAAUUGAAUGAGUUGUAUUUGAAAGCACACCUUCCUCCCAUCAAUUAACACAAAAUCUCAAUUUUCACCAAAAGAAAAUGGUAAAACUAAAACAUAAGCAAUCCAAGAAACCAUAAUUUCAGAAUAGCCAAUCUGCCAUGGGUGAUUAAAAAAAAUAUAUAUACUAAAAUACUGGAAACCAUGGCACAUAUAUCAAAUAAACCAAAUUAUGAAAUCCUAAAAGCUUUCCAAAAUUAACCCUCUGUCGAUUUCUAGAUAUUGGAAAUAUCAUCCUCUCAUUAAAAAUGACUGUAGACACGAAAUAUUGCACUAAAUUCCAAGCAUGGUACUCAGAUUCUUAAAUAACUUGCUAUAUAGUAGAAAUUGAAAUACUAAUAUCUACAAUAUGAUCAAAAUGAUUAUUCUCACACAAGAUUAUGACUUCCAUGUUGUAGAAAAGAAUUGUAUGACGAUGUUUAACAAUUUCUUUUUUUUUUUUUUCAAUUAGAUACACAAUAAUGUAGGCUCAGAUUGGAGAUGAGAAUCUACUGAAGGUUGCUAAGACAUUGAGUGAAUUGUAUUUGAAAGCUCACCUUCCUCCCAUCAGUUAACACAAAAUCUCAAAUUUCACCAAAAGAAAAUCGUAAAACUAAAAACUUGAAGCAAUCCAAGAAAUCAUAAUUUCAGAAUAGUAAAUCUGUCAUGGGAGAUAAAAAAAUAUAACCGAAAUACUGGAAACCAAUGAACAUAUAUUAAAUAAACCAAAUCAUGAAAUCCUAAAACCUUUCCUAAAUUAACCCAAAGCUAGAAGAAAAUAUCUAAAUGAGGCUUUACAAAACCAAAAAUCUUUGUCAUGUCGGGUUCUGGUCGUCUUACCUGUAUAAAACCUUCUUUAAAGAGUAAAAUUGAGCUAGGAUUUUUGUUAAUUGGGUUCUGAAAGGCCUAGUUUCAAUGGGUCAAAUGGGUUUUGAAGUUAGUUUGGAGAAAUGAAUUCCGGGUUUUGACAAAUGAAGCUAGAGGGAAAGAGGAUGGGAUGGCAAAAGAGACAUCGCCAUUUUGUCAAGCUCAAAGUGUCAAUGGAAUGUGGUGUAUGCAUGCAUAUUUGCUUGUAUAGUGGGGGCGAACUUAAGUGCUCUUCAGCACUGGGUUAAGGCCACACGUUGGUCGAAAGUUUCGAUGAAGCAAACUUCAGUCCGUGACAGGACUCUGGGCGCUACGGAGAGUAGGCUCUGUAAAGUCGCCAUUUUUCUCGUAUGGAUGACUCUACUCAGACAAAGCCCAAUCCCAACUCCGGGCCAUCAGCUUUCUCCAGAGACGAAUCUUAUCAGCACAACUUCAUCCCCAAACAAAUCUCUAUCUUUGAGUCCAUCCAAAACUAGAAGAACCUCCAGCGUCUACCCCUUUCUCCUUAUCUCGUCCAGUAAUCACUGUUCCCUAGUUUUGUCCUUCUAUAUCUCUUUAAUUUUACACUAAAGAGAAUAGAUGAAAAUGCAAUUGUCAAAUUUACAAGCAUUUCUUGCCUUUCCUCGUACGCCUCUAACUUAGAUUUUACAACAAAUUUAAAAACCAAAUAAUUUUUAAAUAAGAGAAAUAAAUUCCAACAGUAUAAUUUCUUACAAAAUUAUCUCAGAAGCUAAAAUUCACCAUGAUCUCAAAGCUAUCUUUGAACAAAAUUCAUACCAUAGCUAGGCUUGUUUAUGUAAACCAAAAGCAAAACAUGAUAAUCGAUUUAAAAAUUUAAGAAAAAUGAUGAUUAAUUCAAGAGAACAAAAAAUUGUAAAACAGAAUUCAUAAAAAUAGAAAACAAAUGGUUACAUGGCCAUGCAUGCAGAUGAGCUUUUGAAUUAGGAGUUCAUUAGAUUUUGGAGGUAUGAGAUUGUGGAGUGUGAUGAUGAUAUGUUUGAGCUGAUAGUUGUGUGAAGUAAUGAAAAAAUGAAAGAGAAAAAGAAAAAGAAAAAAGAGAAAGACGAAUGAUGAUGGGAAAUCACAACACGUCCUGGAAGACCUUUUACUCUUUUAUGUAUGUAGGAAUUUUUCUCGCUACAAAAGUAAAAUAAAAAUAAAUAAAUAAUUGAGUUAAAAAAUAUAGGAAAUAAAAAAUAAUUUCAUGUUGUGGACUGAAUUUUUAUUUUUAUUUUUUAUGUGUAUUCAUUUAAGUAAUUUUUUAUAAUUUCUAUAUAAAUAAUCAUUAUGAGUUUGCCAUUUUUAAUUUUUACUAUUUUUAUCUUUGUAGAAAUUUUAUGAUUUUUUUUUUCAAUUAUUAUUAUUAUUAUUAUUAUUAUUUUAGAAUUUUAAGUUUCAUUUUCUAAAAUUUUUAUUUUGAAUAAUUUAUGAAUUUUUUUUUUUAAAUUUUUAAAUUUAUUUCUUAGAUUUUUAUAUUUUUAUUUUUAAUAAUUUUAGUUAAAAAUUUGUUUUCCAUGUUUCCUGAAAACACUAAAAACGUCGAAAAUGCUUUUUGAAUUUUAUAUUAUAGGUUUAUCAUUAUUUACAAAAGACAUUUUCAAAAUUAUUAGACCAAUCGCGUUUUUCAUGUUUUGAAAAUUGAAAAAGGUUUUAAAACAACAAACCAAACACAAGUGAAGUAAGAAAUCAAUGGAUGAUUAAUAGUUUUGAGAAUUUGUACUAGGAUUUGGCAACGAUUCGGUUAGGGUCGAUUCGGCCAAAACAUUACCAAAUCAUCAAUUUUUUGGCCAUACCAUAAUCACACUAUAACCACGUAAAUCGGUUUGGUUCAUAUCUCGGUUCGGGCGGUUAAUAACUAUGAACAAGGACGAAUCCAAGAGUUCGACCUAGCUAUGGCGAUCGUUGAUCGUUAGCAGUCAACGACCGUAUAGUGAUUUCAUUUAUUAAUAUCAAAUUAAAUAAUAUUAAAAAUUAUUCUAUCUAUAUAUAAAUACACUAAAACGUAAAAAUCGUAUAUUUAUAUCAAAUUACAGUAUAAUACAAUCCAAAAUAAUAUAAAAUAAAUUAUACAUCGGACUCUUUGUGUUAUCAAUGUAAUAAAUCGUUUGUUCGACUAAAAGUAGUUACGGGAUUAGACGUACCACUAUAAGAAUUAGGUUUGGACAUCGAUUGAAAAAAUAAUUUCAUAAUUUGUAUUAGAAUUAAAAUUAAUUUUAAAAUAUAAUUAAGGUUUCGAUUUUCAAUUCCCAACACCAAUUUAUCACAAAUUAUAAAUUCCCCAAUUUCUCAUUUUCAAUUUUCACAAAUCACAUAAUCACAUUUCACAAUACUCAAAUUAAAUUUUAAUAUCAAAAUUUACAGUUGAUAUAUUUUCAAAUUCUUAUAUAAAAUCAAAAUUCAAUACUCAUAAGUAAUAUCUCAUAAAUUAUUAAAGCAUAAAAUAUUUAAAACAACAAGAAUCGACAAAAAAAAAAAUAAUAAUAAUAAGUCGCUGACUCACCUAGAGUCUUGUCGGCAGAAGGCGGUAGAACUAAAGGGGGAGGGGUCGAAGGACGAUUGGCCGCUGUCGAUGUAGGCUGCUGCAGCGAACAAGGGAGUCAUGUUGCGAUUGGAGGCAGGGGUUAAGGCUUGAGCAUCGGGGGAGAUUGUUUUGAAUUUUUAGUGAUUUUUAUACUAUGCAAAUGUAUAAUUUGAAUUGGCUUUUAUUUAUUUAUUUAUUUAAGGCCCAGAUUCAAUUGAAAAAUGAAAAGCCGAACAUUUAAAUAAAAAUAACCCAACAAAAUUGAACAUUUUACCUUCUUCCUCUCGGGCUUGUCUUCCUAGGUGACUCCUCCUUCAAAAUCGUCCAUGACACCAACAGCUUCACAGACUCCACUGAAAAUUCAACUCCAGUGUAGUCAGCAUGCGCGGCGGCGUCACCUCGCUAGUUGCUGGCUCCACCCUUGCCCACGAAAAUAAAUUAUUUUUUAUAGGUCCAUCCAUCAAAUUGAAAAAAAAUAAAAUACUAAGCCCAUUUAGCAAAUAAUAUCUCAAAUGAAAAUGCAAAUAAUAUCCUAAUUCCUAAAUGCAAAAUCUAAAUUUAGCAAACAAUAUUAUCAACAUAACAAUACUAAACAAUAUCCUUGUCCAUUGAUUCUUAUGCAUUGAACUUGAUUCUUACUCAAUAACUCAAAAUCUCCAAUCUCAAUUCAUAUUCAAUUUUCAUUCAUAGAAAAAAUAAUGAAAAGCUCAAUUACCCAAUUAAAUUUUUUUAAUGUGUACUUAUAUUAAAAAAAAAAAUUAACGGGUAAUCAGUUUCGGGUGAGUCGACAACGUAAAUACCAUACCCGCCCCGCACCGAACCAGUUCAUUAAAAUCAAAUAUCAUAUCCACCCUAUUGCACUAUUGGUUCAAUUUUUUUGCCCUGUUCGGUUCGAUAAAUCGCGAUUUUCAGUUUUGACAAUUUGAAUUGCCAUCCCUAAUCUAUACACACAAUUGGUGAACUUGUAGCAACGAUUUCUACCAUAUUCUAGCAAGUUUAUCUGGUGCCAUGCCUUAUUGAAUAUUCUUAUAGUAAAACUGUGUUCUUCAACCUUACUUGAAAAAUACUCCAGAGCAAAUGUUCAAUCCAAUUUAAAGAUCAAACUGCUUGGUGCAAGUUAAGAAUUGUGAUUCUUAAUCUAAGUAGUGAUUGUAGCCGAAUACAAAAGUAAAGUGGUGAUAAAGUCAAUAUCAGAGGGUUUAAUUCCAUUUUUACAGCAAGUCAAAAGAAGAAGAAAAUCAUUGAGUUCUUAAAUUUCUUUUGAUUGUUUUUUGUUAAUUUCGCGAAAUUAGAAAAUUGAGACUAUUGUAUUUUUGAUCGUUUGAUUUAGUAAAUUGACUUUCUUGUGGCAUGGGAGCCCGGGGAUAUUUCCCUUAGAAGUUUACCACGUUAUAUCUAGUGUUCAUGAUUGUUAAUUUUUGCAAUUGGGUAAAUUAUGUAGAACACUAUAAUCUUUCUAUAUGCUACAAUCAGAUCUACUUUAACAAUUGCUUGUAAGAUGUUCUGAUUGCUUGGUGUGUACUGUUAAUUAAGACAGAAUUUUUAAUUAACUAGAUUUAAGUAUUUACAACUAUAUAUAGUACCAUUUGUCUUUUUAACAUUGGUUUUAUCUAUUAAAGUAGAGGAAACCUUAUUCACUUUCAAAGUAGAUUUUUUUAUUUUUUUUUUCCUUUCCAACCAAUAGCUUGGUCAACAAUGUCUCAUAUGACAGACAAAGAAGAAAACAAAACUAUCGCAUUAUCUUCGUCGAUCAUCAAUCUUAAGUAACCUAGCCAUGAACUAUGUAGCUUAUUCAGAUGAUUCCUUAACAUCGGUAUCCACUUCCAUCUUCAAUUCCUAUCAUUGCUCUUUCCAAGUAUAACAUAUUUGUUCUUAGCAUAAAACAAUUUUUGUAAAAGUUUUUUAAUAUUUAGAAGGAGACUUCCAGUUCCAAACAUAGUACAUUACCUCGGGUGCAAGAGCUAAUCCGAUUGUACUAACUGUUUUUGCUUCCAAUUCUUUGCAAUAGCAUCUUUCAUCCAUUAUGGCCUCUUACCCUCUAACAUCUUAUAAAGUUCUUGUCGCACAAGAAUAUCUUGGACAGUACUAUUCCAAAUAUUAAAAUUAUUCUUCCUGUCAAAUCGUUCAACCUCAAACUUGGAAGUUUUCAUCAUCUUCAUAUCAAUCUUAGAGUUUGAACCAAAGAAGGUCGCAUAUCCCCUGUUGGAAAAAAAAUCCUAACCAAAUGUAGUGGAAAUAAAAAUCACAAAACUAGCACAAAAAUGAAAAACAAUAAUUACUUCGUUUGGUAAACCUCCAACAACAAUAGGAGAAAGAAGACUUUAUUAGCUUAAAGUUCACAUAAUACCACAUUUAUAUCUCUCUCACACGCAAUUUCUCCCUAGAAAAACUAGAAUAAUCAUUAUACCAUGAAGAAUACAUGUACUUUUUUCUUAAUUUUUCUCAAUUUUCUCUCUUCAUGCAUUCUUAUCUCCCUCGCAAAAUAAAUAAAUAAGAGCGGGAAAAUGAAAAACUUGACUAUGUGUUUUGCUGCUGAAUUUUCUUGUUGCCGUGUUUCACAGGGCUGACCUGUUUAACCUGUGAAGACGAAGAAUUUUCUC